rnacentral:lncRNA from 1 species
UUGCAGCCCGGUGGGAUUUCGAUUUGCUGAACGGACAAGGAGGCUGGAAGUCAGAUGGGUGCCAUAUACUCUAUUCAGAUGAAAAUAUCACUACGAUUCAGUGCUACUCCCUUAGUAACUAUGCAGUUUUAAUGGUUGGGAUAAUUCUUCACUAUUCCACCCUUGCCACAGUACUAUGGGUAGGAGUGACAGCUCGAAAUAUCUACAAACAAGUCACUAAAAAAGCUAAAAGAUGCCAGGAUCCUGAUGAACCACCACCUCCACCAAGACCAAUGCUCAG